ACAGAGACUUGGAAGAAGAUAUUCUGACCUGCAAAAGGCUGAGAAGGAGGUUGACCUAUUAGGGGAUGAGGUGGAUGCUCUUCUAAACCUUCUGGAAAAGAUAUAUGCUGCUCUUGAUCAUUAUUCACCAAUAUUGCAACAUUAUCCUGGGAUUAUGGAUGUCCUGAAAUUGGUUGGAAGAGAAUUGAGUGGGGAAACUGUUAAACCAUUUUAAUCAGCUCUUCUAUGAGCCGUUUCACAAUUAUUGUCUCAUGAUACAUGGAAUGACCAGGCGUGUCAGUGUAUAUGGCUUGAUGGGAUCAGUAGAAGACCGUCUGUGCCUGGAAGAGGUGUGAUAAAGUGUUGAAUGUUGACAACGUGGACAUGAAUAGAAUAGCUUCAUCCUCUUCAGUUGACAAUCUUCUGCAAUGUGAUGCUGCGGGUUCUCCCCUCUUGGCCUAAGUUUCAGAAGUUUUUCCGCUAGUUGGGUAAUUUUGAACCCAGAAAAGGAGAUGGAGA